rnacentral:antisense_RNA from 1 species
CUUGAGCGAGCCCAUCAGCAGGGGGCGGCCCUCGUCGCGGUCCCGGCCGUAGGUCGCCAGUACCGCACCCGCCUC